CCUACGGGUGGCAGCAGUGGGGAAUAUUGGGCAAUGGAGGAAAGUCUGACCCAGCAACGCCGCGUGAAUGAAGAAGGUCUUCGGAUCGUAAAGUUCUUUAAUCAGGGACGAAUAAAAUGACGGUACCUGAAUAAUAAGCCCCGGCUAACUACGUGCCAGCAGCCGCGGUAAUACGUAGGGGGCAAGCGUUAUUCGGAAUUACUGGGCGUAAAGGGUGCGUAGGCGGUUAUACAAGUUAGAAGUGAAAUACCGAGGGCUUAACCCGGGUGUUGCAUCUAAAACUGUAAGACUUGAGUGCAGGAGAGGAUAGUGGAAUUCCUAGUGUAGCGGUGGAAUGCGUAGAUAUUAGGAGGAACACCAGAGGCGAAGGCGGCUAACUGGACUGCAACUGACGCUGAGGCACGAAAGUGUGGGGAGCAAACAGGAUUAGAUACCCGAGUAGUC
rnacentral:rRNA from 1 species